rnacentral:rRNA from 1 species
GAUGAACGCUGGCGGCGUGCUUAACACAUGCAAGUCGAACGGAAAGGCUCCUGCUUGCAGGGGUACUCGAGUGGCGAACGGGUGAGUAACACGUGGGUGAUCUGCCCUGCCCUUCGGGAUAAGCCUGGGAAACUGGGUCUAAUACCGGAUAGGACGAUGGUUUGGAUGCCAUUGUGGAAAGUUUUUCGGUGUGGGAUGAGCUCGCGGCCUAUCAGCUUGUUGGUGGGGUAAUGGCCUACCAAGGCGUCGACGGGUAGCCGGCCUGAGAGGGUGUACGGCCACAUUGGGACUGAGAUACGGCCCAGACUCCUACGGGAGGCAGCAGUGGGGAAUAUUGCACAAUGGGCGCAAGCCUGAUGCAGCGACGCCGCGUGGGGGAUGACGGCCUUCGGGUUGUAAACUCCUUUCGCUAGGGACGAAGCGCAAGUGACGGUACCUGGAGAAGAAGCACCGGCUAACUACGUG